GGAAAUGUGCCCGAAGUUUAAGGAUUACUUUGAUAGAGUAAAAUACAGAGGUUAAACCCUCUCCUUUCC
rnacentral:tRNA from 1 species